AUGACUGUACCACGUUGAAUCACCGGUUCUCGUACGAUCACCGAAGUUAAGCAACCUCAAGGGUGGUCAGUACCUAGUUGGAUGACCUUUUGGGAAUAAUAAGUGU